CAAUAGCGUAUAUUAAAGUUGUUGCAGUUAAAAAGCUCGUAGUUGGAUUUGUGGCGUACGGUGUGUUCCGGGCACUUGUUGUCUGAGUAACCUGCUGUUGCCAUCCUUGGGUGGAACCUGUGUGGCAUUAGGUUGUCGUGCAGGGGAUGCCCAUCAUUUACUGUGAAAAAAUUAGAGUGUUCAAAGCAGGCUUAUGCCGUUGAAUAUAUUAGCAUGGAAUAAUGAGAUAGGACUUUUUUGCUAUUUUGUUGGUUUGCGCAAAGAGGUAAUGAUUAAUAGGGACAGUUGGGGGUAUUCGUAUUCCAUUGUCAGAGGUGAAAUUCUUGGAUUUUUGGAAGACGAACUACUGCGAAAGCAUUUACCAAGGAUGGUUUCAUUAA
rnacentral:rRNA from 1 species